UUUCUUCGGCCACCUGAGUCCCAGUAACCAUUGUUUUCUUCCACGCUACACCCCUAGAUAAAGGUUUUCUUUUUGACUGCAUGUUGGGAUCGCUUGGAGACGUUUUGGUUUUUGGUACCACUCGCUGAGAUUGGUUUACUUGGUAUGGGGGUGUGACCCGAGCAUUGGAAUUUUUUAGAGCUCCCCAGGUGAUUCUCGUGUGCAGGAGUUUGAAACCACCAGUCUCCAUCUGUGCUUCGCACACUUGAUUGGCAUAGGAAUCCUCUGGGGAGCUUGUUAAAAUGCAGAUUCAAAUUAGGUCGGUCUGGGCUGGGACAUGAGGUUCUGUCCUUUCUAAUAAGCUGCCAGGUAGUCUGCGCACAGCUUGGUUGAAAGGCUGCAGGACUCGAGGUUCUCUGAAUUGGAUGACUAAGAGCUCUUAACCGGUCCCCCGUCCCCCCCUUCCACCUUCCAUUCUUCACACCGCAUCCAUGGUGAUUACUCUAAACAAUCUAACGCAGCGGGCAAGAUACCUGAGUGGCUCAGUCCGGUAAACAUUGGACUUGGCUCAGAUCAUGAUUUCAUGGUUUGUGGGUUAGAGCUCGUAUAGGGCCCUACGCUGGCAGUAUGGAGCCUGCUUCGGAUUCUCUUUCCCUCUCUCUCUGUCCCUCUCCCACAUGUGCUUUCUCUCUCUCAAAAAUGAAAUAAACAAUCUAAUGCAGAAAUCUUAGAAGAGUCAAUUGGGAAAACAGGAAGAAAGUCGUUUGACAUCGACCAAGGAUUUUUAAAAGAAAUUUGUCUUAAAUUAUAAAAAUAUUUCAAAGCAUCACGUAAAACUUUGAACUACUGUAAACAUAGAACAUUAAAGAAAUUAAUGUAUUUGAUUCCGUUCUGAAACACUGUCUAGCCAUCUAAUCAGGUGUUUAUGAAGCCUUUAGUAUCAUGGGGAAAGCAAAAAAGCAACAACAGAAACCUAUAAAAGUUUCAACUAGGUAAAAAUAUAUAGGAAGAUAAAUAUAAAAUCUCUGGGGAGUGAUUUCCUUUUUGAUUUAUCGUUUUUCACAUAUUUAACCAUUUUCUAUAAUGAGCAUCUUAUUACCUUGAUAAGGAAUAAAAGGUCCUAUCCAGCCCUGUAACAUGGAAGCUCCUUUGCCACAUGGUGGUUCCUGUCUGCUUCUCAAGCCUCACUGCUCAUCACUCCUGCCUAUAUUAGUUUGUGACCUCCUCAAAUAUUCCUUGUCGCCAGGACUUCGAUUCUGCUCUUGAUGCUAGAAAAUGCCUCCCUUCCUCCAUCUUUGCUAGAUUUAUUCCUAGAGACCCUUUAAGUCUUAGAUACAGCCACAUUGCCUGCCUUCCUUCCCUCCCCAAGUGUAUUCACUGCCUGUCCUGUGUUUUUACAACACCCCAGGAGCAUCCAUCCUGACUCAGUUUCUUUCUUGGUUUUCUUGACCUCUCUUCACUCCCAUUUUUGGCUCCCGUUAACUAACCUAAACUGCUAGGGUUGCUCAGGGCUUGGCCCCAAGACCUCUCUUAGGUUCUCUCCCUAAGUGACUACCUCGGUUCCCAUGAAUUUAUAUACCAUCUUUAUACUUAAGAUUCUCAACUGUUUGUCUCCAGCCUUGACCUCUUCCCUGAACUCCAGAUUUGAAUAUCCACAGUGCCUAGCUGACAUAUCCUCUGAGGUUUUGCACAAACAUCUCAAAUUGAACACGUUCAUAAAAAGGCCCUUGAUUUUUGCUUCCAGACCUGAUCCUUUCCACUGCAGGCCCCCCAAACUUUCUCAAUACACUGGCACUAUGAUUGACUCAGGGGUCCAAGAAGGAAAUCUAGGUGUCAUCUUGAUUUACCCUCUCCUCAUUCCAUAAUUUCAUUAGCACAUCCUGUCAAUGCGAUGUCCAAAAUACACAUUGAUUCCGCCCCUUUUCUCCAUCGCUGCUAUGACUUUAGUACAGGCUGUCAUUCCUACCUGCAGUCCUGCAAAAGACUGACUACCUGGUUUAACUUCUAUUGCUUCCCCUCUAAUCCUUUUUCCAUACAGCCGGCAGAGUGACCUUAAAGUCAUGAAGCAGAACAUGUCCUCCUGCUCUAAAUACUGCCCAGUGUACCAGAAUAAAAUCCAAACCUUAAAUAGCUUACCAAGCCUUAAGUGACUGGAACGCUGCCACCCUAACCUUACUUUGUGCCACUCUCACUGUUCUCUAGGACUUUUUCCACGCAUGAAGAAAUCUUUUAUGGUGCAUCUCCUAUGUGCCAGGCACCGUCUGAGGUACCAAAAAUAGAGUUCUUCCCCUCAGACUCAUAGAGUUCAAGGCAUACUGAAGAUAUACUUCCGGGGGCUUGUAAUGUGUGUUGUCUUCGAGCCGGCAAAGGAGUCCCUGAUGGGAACAGUACUGUGAAGCUUUUGGCUCCUGAUUCAUCGACUCCCUAAUAAGCAGAAAAAUAAUAUCCGUAUCCUUUGAUAUUUACCAUUACAAUUAUAAAGCCAUUCCUAUUAUAAAUGUAAUACUUAUUCCUGACUGACAACUUAGGCAAAGAACACAGAAAUGAUCCUGAAUCCCAACCUACUUCACUUAACAAUAAAUUGAAACAUGUAUCCCUCUA